rnacentral:lncRNA from 1 species
AAAGCUGGCCACCCGAGCCAGCUGUGGCAGCCUGCUCAGGUCCCCUUCCACGCUGUGGAUGCUUUGUUCUUUCACUCAAUAAAUCUUGCUGCUGCUCACUCUUUGGGUCCGCACUACCUUUAUGAGCUGUAACACUCGCCACCGAGGUCUGCAGCUUCACUCCUGAAGCCAGCGAGACCAUGAACCCACUGGGAGGAACAAACAACUCCAGACGUGCCACCUUUAAGAGCUGUAAUGCUCACUGGGAAGGUCUGUGGCUUCACUCCUGAAGUCAGUGAGACCACGAACCCACCGGAAGGAAGAAACUCCAGACACAUCUGAACAUCUGAAGGAACAAACUCUGGACACACCAUCUUUAAGAACUGUAACACUCACCACGAGGGUCCGCUGCUUCAUUCUUAAAGUCAGCAAGACCAGGAACCCACUGGAAGGAACCAAUUCUGGACACAUUUUGUUGACCACGAAGGGACUAUCGCCUAUCACCAAGUGGUGAGUACCAUCAGACCCCUUUCACUUGCUAUUCUAUCCUAUUUUUCCUUCAAAUUCAGGGGCUAAAUACCAGGCACCUGUCGGCCAGUUAAAAGUGAUUAGCACGACCACCAGACUAAAGACAUGGGUGUCAGGCUUUCUGGGAAAGGGUUCUCUAACAACCCCCGACUCUUUGGAGUUGAGAGCAUUGGUUUGCCAACAAAGGCUUUGAAGGCCAAGAAGGCAGUGUUGAAAGGUGUCCACAGCCACAAAAAAAAGAUCUGCACGUCACCCACCUUCCAGCGGCCCUAGACACUGUGACUCCGGAGGCAGCCCAAAUGUCCUCAGAAGAGUGCCCCCAGGAGAAACAAGCUUGACCACUAUGCCGUCAAGAUUCCCCUGACCACUGAGUCUGCCAUGAAGAAGAUAGACGACAACACACUUGUGUUCAUUUGGUUGUUAAAAACAACAAGCACCAGAUCAAACAGGCUGUGUGACAUUGAUGUGGCCAAGGUCAACACCCUGAUUCACCCUGAUGGAGAGAAGAAGGCAUAUGUUCGACUGGCUCCGGAUUACAAGACUGUGUGAGGUCUCCCAGAAAAAGAAAAGAGAAGGACCAAGGACAGAGCCCAGAGUACACCAACAUUUAGAGGUCAGUUAAAAGAGAAAAAGAAACUGGAAUCACUGUGUUUCAUUACCCAGGUGUCUUAAAAACCAUAUAUAUACACGUGUCUAUAUAUACAUAUAUGUACUUAUAUAUACGUAUAUAUAAAUAUAUGUAUAUGUAUAUAUAUCCUGGGUGUUUUUGUUGUUGUUUUGUUUGUUGUUUGGUUGGUUUGAGACCGGGUCUUGCUGUUGCCCAGGCUGGACUGCAGUGGCAUGAUCAUGGCUCACUGCAUCCUCAAACACCUGGGCUCAAGCCAUCCUCCCACCUCAGCCUCCCAAGUAGCUGGGACUAUAGGUGUGCAUCACCAUGCCUGGCUAAUUUUUUAUUUUUUGUAGAGAUGAGGGCUUACUAUGUUGCCCAGGCUGGUCUCAAACUGCUGGGCUCAAGUGAUCCUCCUACCUUGGCCUCCCAAAGUGCUGGGACUGGUUUUUAAUGUUAUCUCUGAUCUUAUUACUCCAUCCUGUUUGGAAACGAAAGCCUUACUCAGCCAAAAUUAUGAAAAAACUGUGAAAACAAUUUUAAGUAUUUCACAAUCAAUGACAGAAUGAAAGACAAACUAUUUAGCUGUGGCCAAGAAAUUGAGUGGCAAUGGUUUCAUUGACAUCUUGGAAGAAGAUACUAGAAGAUUCAUUG